AUGGCAUUGAACAUGUCCUAAUGUUUCACAGUGAGAAGUGAAGCACUUCCUCUUACUUAGAAAGAAAAAUAUUUGAUUUUUAGAGGAUGCCUGACACUAAUGCUGACUAUUCUGCUAUCUAUGAUGUCUUCACUUAUGGAUAUAUUUAUUAACAAGUACUUAUUAGCUAUUUAACAUUUCCUCUAUUGAGUGUUAUUAAUUACAGAUGCUGUAUUAGUUUCCUAAGGUUGCUAUAACAGAUGCUGUAUUAGUUUCCUAAGGCUGCUGUAACAAAUUACCACAAACUUGGUGACUUAAAACAACAGAAAUUUAUACUCUCACGGUUCUGGAGGCCAGAAGUUCAAAAUACAGCUGGGACCAAAAGCAUCUCUAAGGAAGGAUACAGUCCUUGCCUCUUCCAGGGUUCUGUGCCUCCUGUUGGAAUCAGCUCACUAACCAGUGGAAACAAACCGUUUAUGCUUCCAUGAUGUUGUAACUGCCUGGGCUUUCUAAUGCAUCUUCAGAUUUCAGUUUGUACUCAGAACAAGUGAGAAAAGUUUUACAGAAACUCCACGAAACAAAGCAGACAGGCUCUCCUGAAGCCAAGGAUUUAUGAAAAAGGCAGGCGUCGCGCAUUGAAUCAAGUAUGCCAUUACCCUCACUCCCAUGAACCUGUCUUUCAGCACAAUCCACGACAGCAAGAAGACAAAGGCUUUGUUACAACAGAACAGAGCGGAGACAUCCGUGGCCGUCAGCUUCUUUA
rnacentral:antisense_RNA from 1 species